CCUCUCUCCUCUCCAGGGGACAGAACAACCUGGGAAGGUGAUGAGAAACAGAAGCGAAACUUCAUCAGGUGGUCAGCUGAAGAAACCUGAAGAGUCCUUUGAGGAACUGACUUGUUUUCAUCUUUUCAUUAAUGACAGUAAGACCUAAGUAACUGGUUUUGUUUCCUUUUUUCUC
rnacentral:lncRNA from 1 species